ACCAGCCACCUCCCACUACUUCACUUGUGAACAUUGCAUUCAUGGAGGGUGGCAGGUGCAGCUCUG
ensembl:miRNA